CGUUGAGGCCCUUGUGGGAUAAUUUGAACAGGGGGAGGAUGAAGCUCUUGUGGGAGGAUAAGGGGAAAAGGCCCCACCAGCGGCUCAGGGUCUCCCCUGUAGGGAGACGAGGUGUUGGGAGUAGAGGGUGCUGCACAGGAGCGGGAACAAAGUCCUUGGGGAUGUUUGACAGCUGUAGCCCUGGGCCCCAAUUCUUCAUGGUUGUAGCAUCCAGGCUAUAGAGAUGAAGUUGUUCCUGAGGGCAGGGUCUGUAUUUUAUUGUGCUGUGUACAGUGCCAAGCACAAUGGCUCUGGGUCAGGAAGGACACCAUUUACAUUGCAAUAGCUCUCAAAGGCCCCAGUCAAGUUACUGAUCAAGUAUAAAUAACACCACUACCAGUUUGUGCCACGUAGUGAUUCCAAAGAUGGAAAACCACUGAAAGAUUGUGUCUUCAUCUAAAAUGUGUCAAUUUUUAUGGGCUAUGAAUCCAAUCCAGAGGUGAUAUUUAUAGAGUAUAAAUUCAACACUGGACGCCUGCUUUGUUCAGUGCACAGGCUGAAUCUGUCCAAGGUUGUGCAGUAAAGAAGGCUAUUGCCUCUAAGACCCCUGCCCCAUCUGUUGCAGAAGUUGAAAGCAGUCCCAGUGUAAACUGCAAGUAUUGGCAGAGCAGCUGCACCCAUCCUGUUGGUCUUCCUUAUGCAAUCCCACAAUGCUGCUAUCCAGUCUUCAGAGAUCCCAGGAAUGUCAUCUGAUCACGGAGCAUAAAACAUACCUUAUGACUUACGUGACAGACUCACAGCUCAGAAAUCAACUUGUGAAUACUGAUGCUUGCAGAAAAUAGCCCGAGCAACUCACAGAUUCCACUAUGACAUCAGGUGCUGCUUCCCCCACAUUUGUCGAGAAAGAGAAAGGAAAGCGAAAGGGAG